rnacentral:rRNA from 1 species
AGGGAAGAGCUCAAAUUUUAAAUCUGACGUCUUCGGCGUCCGAGUUGUAAUCUAUAGAAGUGUUUUCCGCGAUGGACCGUGCACAAGUCUCCUGGAACGGUGCGUCAUAGAGGGUGAGAAUCCCGUAUAUGGCACGGACUCCCAUUGCUAUGUGAUACACUCUCGAC